rnacentral:rRNA from 1 species
AGGAUUCCCCUAGUAACGGCGAGUGAAGCGGGAUGAGCUCAAAUUUAAAAUCUGGUGUCCUUUGGGCAUCCGAGUUGUAGUCUAGAGAAGCAUUUUCCGUGUCGGACCAUGUACAAGUCUCCUGGAACGGAGCGUCAUAGAGGGUGAGAAUCCCGUUCUUGACAUGGACCCCCGAUGCUCUGUGAUGUGCUCUCAAAGAGUCGAGUUGUUUGGGAUUGCAGCUCAAAAUGGGAGGUAAAUUCCUUCUAAAGCUAAAUAUUGGCGAGAGACCGAUAGCGAACAAGUACCGUGAGGGAAAGAUGAAAAGCACUUUGGAAAGAGAGUUAAACAGUACGUGAAAUUGUUAAAAGGGAAACGAUUGAAGUCAGUCGCGUCUGCUUGGACUCAGCCUUACUUCGGUUUGGUGCAUUUCCUUGUAGACGGGCCAGCGUCAAUGUUAUCCGCUGGAAAAAGGUGUAGGGAAUGUGACUCUUUCGGGAGUGUUAUAGCCCUAUAUCAUAUGCAGUGGGUGAUAUUGAGUGUAACAGCACGCUUUUGUGGUGCUUGUGUUGGCAUAAUGGCUUUAAACGA